UAUCUCUUCUAAAAGACCCGUAAAAAAAAUAGAAUAAAAGGAUUGCUCCAUCCUGCAACGUGUUUGGAAGUUUCUUUCUCGGCGGGACAAUCCGACAAUCCCUCAAAUACUCCUGAGAGAGAGAGAGAGAGAGAUAGAGAGAUUUGGGGAACUCAGAAAUGGGGGAAUCCAAUGAAGAACUGGAACCGCUUUUUGAUUACAGACGUGUUCAGCCCUUCAAUACUCCCUUCAAUCUUGUCUGCCUUGACGAUGACAGUCCAGACUCGUCUCCAGUAAUCUCAAAGAAACGGAAAGUGAACGAUUCUGCUGUCGAAAGGAAAGAAGAGGAAGUUGUUCAAAUAAUUGAUGGUGAAGAAGAGGAUUGGCUGCCACCUUCCCCAAACAUUUCUGCUCAUACUUGUAACCUUGUUGAAGAUUCAACUAUAAAGGAAAUUAGGUUGAAAAAGAAAGAGCUGGAAUCCAUUGCCCACUCAGCUAAGGAUGAGUUCCGAGAUGUUGAAGAAUCUGUAAAAAGAGAUCUUUGUGCUUCCCUCCAUUCUAUUCAAGAUAGUGUUGCUGAGCCGCCAUCAAAACCCCCAACUAAAAGAGCUAAAAUAGUUAUUUCUAUCCAGGACAAGGAUGGAGCAAAACAAUUUCGAGUUUACAUGGAUGAUAAAUUUGAGAGGCUGUUCAAAUCGUAUGCUGAUAAAGUCAAGCUUGAUCUGAAAAAUUUGGUUUUCUGCUUUGAUGGGGAUAAAAUUAAUCCUACUGCAACUCCCAGUAGCCUCGGGAUGGAGGAUGAUGACAUCAUUGAAGUGCAUGUAAAACCAAGUUGUUGAGGAUUAAAAGAGUUCUAGAGAUGGGUGGAAAAAGAACAAGGAAGAAGGAAGGUUUCACUUUAUCCUGCAGCUGAAGGUGACUUAAUUGGUGAAGUUAACAUUGCAGACUGUUUGCAUCCUGUUUUUCUAUGCUUUUGGUGGUCAGACUAAUGUCCUGCCAACUGUACAGUAGGGGCUCUUCUUUUUUUUUUUUUGGUGGGCGGGAAGGAAUUUCACAUAAUAGUUGUUUUAAAAGAAUUUUUUUCUUAACGUUGGGAGAUAAUGCUUUUCCUAUAAUUGCUUUUUGUUUUUGUUUGAGGGGAGAAACAAGGUCUCCCCUCUUCAAUGCAUUAUCAAUUAUCUGAAUGCUGAAAAAGCUUUGAUCAUGUGCAAAGACGAUGAUCUUUCAUCAUGUAGACAACAAAAGUAUAAUCAUGGUUUAGCGUCUGAACUCUGAA